rnacentral:tRNA from 1 species
GCCUGGGUGGCUCAGUCGGUUGAGCGUCCGACUUCGGCUCAGGUCACGAUCUCGCGGUUCGUGGGUUCGAGCCCCACGUCGGGCU